CACUUAAGGAAGAGAGCAACGGAGGAAGAGCAAGAAGGAAGAGCCAAAAGGAAGGGAGAACUAAACUCUUUGUUCUGAGUUCAAAAAGUGUUAGUUUUGAAGACACACCCCAUGGAAGGAUGUGUGACCAUUAUCUUGACCAAUAACAGUCUUGUGGGCUGUCUCCAAGAAAGAAAA